rnacentral:rRNA from 1 species
GACGAACGCUGGCGGCGCGCCUAACACAUGCAAGUCGAACGAGCGAGAGAGAGCUUGCUUUCUCAAGCGAGUGGCGAACGGGUGAGUAACGCGUGAGGAACCUGCCUCAAAGAGGGGGACAACAGUUGGAAACGACUGCUAAUACCGCAUAAGCCCACGGCUCGGCAUCGAGCAGAGGGAAAAGGAGCAAUCCGCUUUGAGAUGGCCUCGCGUCCGAUUAGCUAGUUGGUGAGGUAAUGGCCCACCAAGGCGACGAUCGGUAGCCGGACUGAGAGGUUGAACGGCCACAUUGGGACUGAGACACGGCCCAGACUCCUACGGGAGGCAGCAGUGGGGAAUAUUGCACAAUGGGGGAAACCCUGAUGCAGCGACGCCGCGUGGAGGAAGAAGGUCUUCGGAUUGUAAACUCCUGUUGUUGAGGAAGAUAAUGACGGUACUCAACAAGGAAGUGACGGCUAACUACGUGCCAGCAGCCGCGGUAAAACGUAGGUCACAAGCGUUGUCCGGAAUUACUGGGUGUAAAGGGAGCGCAGGCGGGAAGACAAGUUGGAAGUGAAAUCCAUGGGCUCAACCCAUGAACUGCUUUCAAAACUGUUUUUCUUGAGUAGUGCAGAGGUAGGCGGAAUUCCCGGUGUAGCGGUGGAAUGCGUAGAUAUCGGGAGGAACACCAGUGGCGAAGGCGGCCUACUGGGCACCAACUGACGCUGAGGCUCGAAAGUGUGGGUAGCAAACAGGAUUAGAUACCCUGGUAGUCCACACUGUAAACGAUGAUUACUAGGUGUUGGAGGAUUGACCCCUUCAGUGCCGCAGUUAACACAAUAAGUAAUCCACCUGGGGAGUACGACCGCAAGGUUGAAACUCAAAGGAAUUGACGGGGGCCCGCACAAGCAGUGGAGUAUGUGGUUUAAUUCGACGCAACGCGAAGAACCUUACCAAGUCUUGACAUCCCUUGACGAUGCUGGAAACAGUAUUUCUCUUCGGAGCAAGGAGACAGGUGGUGCAUGGUUGUCGUCAGCUCGUGUCGUGAGAUGUUGGGUUAAGUCCCGCAACGAGCGCAACCCUUAUGGUCAGUUACUACGCAAGAGGACUCUGGCCAGACUGCCGUUGACAAAACGGAGAAAGGUGGGGAUGACGUCAAAUCAUCAUGCCCUUUAUGACUUGGGCUACACACGUACUACAAUGGCGUUAAACAAAGAGAAGCAAGACCGCGAGGUGGAGCAAAACUCAGAAACAACGUCCCAGUUCGGACUGCAGGCUGCAACUCGCCUGCACGAAGUCGGAAUUGCUAGUAAUCGCAGAUCAGCAUGCUGCGGUGAAUACGUUCCCGGGCCUU